rnacentral:rRNA from 1 species
GCAUAUCAAUAAGCGGAGGAAAAGAAACUAACAAGGAUUCCCCUAGUAACUGCGAGUGAAGCGGGAAAAGCUCAAAUUUAAAAUCUGGCGGUCAUUGGCCGUCCGAGUUGUAAUUUAGAGAAGCGUCUUCCGCGCCGGACCGUGCACAAGUCUCCUGGAAUGGAGCGUCAUAGAGGGUGAGAAUCCCGUCUUUGGCACGGAUGCCUGGUGCUUCUGUGAUGCGCUCUCGAAGAGUCGAGUUGUUUGGGAAUGCAGCUCAAAAUGGGUGGUGAACUCCAUCUAAAGCUAAAUAUUGGCGAGAGACCGAUAGCGAACAAGUACCGUGAGGGAAAGAUGAAAAGCACUUUGGAAAGAGAGUGAAACAGUACGUGAAAUUGUUGAAAGGGAAACGCUUGAAGUCAGUCGCGUCGACCGAGACUCAGCCUUGCCUUGGCUUGGUGUACUUCUCGGCCCGACGGGUCAGCGUCAAUUUUGCCCCUCGGAUAAUGGCAAGGGAAAGGUGGCACCUUUGCGGGUGUGUUAUAGUCUCCUGUCGCAUGCGAGGGGUGGGAUUGAGGAACUCAGCGCGCGCCUCGGUGUCGGGGCCUUUGGGCCCACGUCACGCGCUUAGGAUG